GUGCUACAAGAAAGUUCAUAUUCCUCUUGAGGAAUAUGGAAAGACUCUUGGGUAUAAGUAGAUGUAUACGGUGAAGGCAGUAUUACCUACUUUGUGACAGUUAACCACUGCUUUUU
rnacentral:ncRNA from 1 species